UUUGUUUGUAGAUCCCACAUAUAUAUCAUCUUAGUGUAUGAAGAAACAGCUGGGUUGACGGUCAAUGAUCCUAUUUUACGAACACACAAGCCUUUGUCGGUGGAGUUGGGUCCUGGAAUCUUGGGGAAUAUAUUUGAUGGUAUUCAGAGGCCUCUAAAGACCAUCGCAAAGCGAUCUGGUGAUGUGUAUAUCCCUCGUGGUGUCUCUGUCCCGGCCCUUGACAAGGACACCCUUUGGGAAUUCCAGCUUAAAAAAAUAGGUGAGGGAGGUCUUGUAACAGGGGGAGACUUAUAUGCUAUUGUCUUUGAGGACAGUUUAGCGCAAUACCAUGUUGCACUUCCUCCUGAUUCUAUAGGAAAGAUAACCUCCAUUGCACCAGUUGGUCAAUAUUCAUUGAAGGUUUGUCUAAUUUA